GACGAACGCUGGCGGCGUGCUUAACACAUGCAAGUCGAACGGUAAGUCCCUUCGGGGUACACUAGUUGCGAACGGGUGAGUAACACGUGGGUAAUCUGCCUACACAUCAGGAUAAGCCUGGGAAACUGGGUCUAAUACCGAAUUGGACCACAGGACACAUGUCCUGUUGGGGAAUGCUUUUGCGGUGUGUGAUGGGCCCGCGUCCUCUCAGCUUGUUGGUGGGGUGAUGGCCUACCAAGGCGGCGCCGGGGAGCCGGCCUGCGAGGGUGUCCGGCCACACGGGGACUGAGAUAACGACAGGACUGCUACAGGACGAAGAAGUGGGGAACAUUCUACAAUGGGCGCAAGUAGGCUGCAGAGAAGAGCCGUGGGCGAUGACGGCGUCAGCGUUGUAACCGCCUUUCACACUCGACGACGGUCCGGGUUUUCUCAGGCUGACGGUAGCCGGAGAAGAAGCACCGGAUAACUUCGUG
rnacentral:rRNA from 1 species